CCAGGGUUGUUAAGAGAGAGAAGGAGGGGGCGCAGAAGCGCCAAGGAGCCAAGAAGUUUCUGGGUGCCCACAGCCAGAGUGCGGGGGGUGCUGAGAAGUUUCUGGGUGCCCACAGCCAGAGUAGGGGGAUUCCUGAGAAGUUUCAGGGCACCCCAUAGCCAGAGUGGGGGAGCAGAGAAGAUUCUGGAAUACCAGCCAGAUCUGACAUGACUAUAAAAAAUGGGGAUCCUGCCGAGGCGUCUCUUUGUGUGUGUCCUCUCGGAGCAGUGGGCCAAAUGCAGCCGAGAGACCCUCCCCUUUGGUCGGAUCGCUGCCUAAAGUAACCUCCUGGGUCUGGGACUGCCUCACUGCACUGUGUGGUAGAGAUGAAUUAUGCCUCUGACAUCAGGAAGACACCUGCAAACUAAGCCAAGGCUGAGAGUGAAAACAUUAGAGACUUUUACUAAUUUAUCCAAAAGUACUCAGUGUCUACAUCCUACCAAGAAUUCUACCACAAAAAAAGGUUCAUUUUCUACUGGUGAAAAAAGUAGGGUGAUUCACAGAUAUGAAAGAAAAGGAGAAACAGAAGAUAUACAGAGAGACAAAGGAGGAACAAAGCUGGCCAGUUUCAAAACAGGACUUUGGACGAAUUUCAGCAAAGUGUCUAAUAGUGAAAUUGUGAAGAGUCUUCUCCAGGCAUGCAAAAUCCCCUGGAAUGUGAUGGCUAAGAUACUGCUUCUUUAUAAAGCAUACUAAGAAGGGUCUUAGCAGCAGGAGUCUGAGAAUCGAGGUCACUCAAGAUCUAUCUGGAUACAUCUGAAGGUCUCAGCUCUACAGUAUACCCCUCUUAUGCCUGUCCCACUAAUUUCAACAGCAAAAGAGCUGGGUAAAGGACCCUCACUGGAGUAAGUAGUCUUUUCAGGAGACAGAUCUGGAGCUUACAUAAGAAAUGAUAUAAAAUAUGUUUGUGUUGGGGUUUUUUUCUUUGUUUUGUUUUCCUGAUAUGACAGCAUCCUUAGCUGAUGAAGUAGCGUAUCUGGAGAAGAGUAAUGAGCAGGUAUGCAAAGCAAAAAUUAACUGGGCAUCCAGAGGUCUGCAUGAAAAAAGCUAGAGGUUGUGUGGAAAGCUAGAUAGUUUGAGAAAG